rnacentral:rRNA from 1 species
CUCUGUGACUCCUACGGGAGGCAGCAGUGGGGAAUAUUGCACAAUGGGGGAAACCCUGAUGCAGCCAUGCCGCGUGUGUGAAGAAGGCCUUCGGGUUGUAAAGCACUUUCAGUAGGGAGGAAGGUAGUCGUAGUUAACACCUGCAUUAUUUGACGUUACCUACAGAAGAAGCACCGGCUAACUCCGUGCCAGCAGCCGCGGUAAUACGGAGGGUGCGAGCGUUAAUCGGAAUUUACUGGGCGUAAAGCGCAUGCAGGCGGCCUGUUAAGUCAGAUGUGAAAGCCCCGGGGCUUAACCUCGGAAUUGCAUUUGAAACUGGCAGGCUAGAGUCUUGUAGAGGGGGUUAGAAUUUCAGGUGUAGCGGUGAAAUGCGUAGAGAUCUGAAGGAAUACCAGUGGCGAAGGCGGCCCCCUGGACAAAGACUGACGCUCAGACUGCGAAAGCGUGGGGAGCCAAACAGGAUUAGAUACCCUGGUAA